CUGUAGUGGACAAAUAUAUUUUCUGUCACAGAAAGAAAAAAAAAAGAUAUUUGAAUAAUAAAAAAAUACGUUUGAUAUAUGACCCAUAUAAUGUUAUAUGUUAUAUACCUGUUCUACUUAUUACUGGUUUUGUGGUCCAGGGUCACAAAUUCAGUAAGAGUAUGAAGUUAACUUUUACAGAUGGUAUUGUGUUAAAGUGAUAGUUCACCCAAAAAUGAAAAGUCUGUCAUAAUUUACUCAAACUCAUAUCAUUCCAACCCUAUAUGACUGACUUACCUCUGUGGAAUAUAAAGCAAAAUCAUAUGGGAAAUGUCUCAGCGUCUUUUUAAAAAUUUUAUUAAUUAAUUAAUCUAUUACUUUUAAGGGCCAAACCCCAGCAAAAUAUUCACGUGGUAACUCAUGGGCCAGAUGGGCUAGAUUUAUUUUAUUUAUUUAUUUAAAUUUAGCACCAAUUCAGUCCUAGUCUGGACUUCAUAUAUCAGAAUAGUAAAAUAAUUGUUGUGAAAAGGAAUACAAUUGUUAGUGUUUUACAGCAACUAGUCUUCACUGCCCCUGUAAACUUCAGCAAUUAUGUACAGAAGUGUAGGUAGUUUCACGUUUGUUUCCCACUGAGUUGGGAGUUCUUACUAAGAAACCACUUCUUUUUAUUUUCUGUUAAAAAGUACGGCACAGCAUUCUUUAAAUGUUAAUGCAGAAGCAGAAUUUAACCACACAAAGACAACACAUCACUACAGACAAGAAGGACAAACACAAGAGGGAUCUGUGCACCAUAAAGACCAUUUCCACAGUCGAUGAGACAGAGAUGCCACUAACUGAUUGUUUGUCUUCGGUUUUAAAGAAAAUAUACACAUUUCUGAAACGACAUUCUUUUUUAAUCAUUUUUCUAUUGAGUCUUUUGUUAAUCGGAUUUGAGGAGUUCAUGGAAGCAAAAGUUUUCUCAUGCCCGUGCAGACAUGAUCUGAAUGUACAACUAACAGUGUGCAUCUUCAUCGGACCUGCUCUCUUUAUUUUCGAAUUACUCUUCCUCUUUUUAAGGCCUUUUAGAGAGAAAUGCAGUCGUUUUUCUGCAGGAGCAGAUGAUGAUACUCAGCUGAACUGUCCUAAAGCUUUCACAUCAUGUCUGAUUCCACCCAUAAUGUGGGUCAUCAUCUUGUUACUCGAUGGAGAUUACUUCGCUUGUGCCAUGACAUAUUGGAAGGGAAUUUUCACGUUUGACAAUCAGCUCAACAGGUCGUGGUGUAAACCUACCGAAAAGUUCAGAAAUGUGACAGCGCUACAAAAUUUGACUCAAACACAUAUCCAUCAAUCUCAGAUAUAUGGUUAUGGUGUGAGCACUGUCUUCAUCGUCUUUCCAAUUAUCUAUGUGGGAAUUUGUGACUGCUGUGGAAAAUCUGCCUGCUGA
ensembl:lncRNA